GAUGAAGAACGUAGCGAAAUGCGAUAAGUAAUGCGAAUUGCAGAAUUUCCGUGAAUCAUCGAAUCUUUGAACGCACAUUGCGCCCGCCAGUAUUCUGGCGGGCAUGCCUGUUCGAGCGUCAUUACAACCCUCAGGCCCCCGGGCCUGGCGUUGGGGAUCGGCGGAAGCCCCCUGCGGGCACAACGCCGUCCCCCAAAUACAGUGGCGGUCCCGCCGCAGCUUCCAUUGCGUAGUAGCUAACACCUCGCAACUGGAGAGCGGCGCGGCCACGCCGUAAAACACCCAACUUCUGAAUGUUGACCUCGAAUCAGGUAGGAAUACCCGCUGAACUUAAGCAUAUCAAUAAGCGGAGGA
rnacentral:misc_RNA from 1 species